UACGUAGGGUGCAGGCGUUAAUCGGAAUUACUGGGCGUAAAGCGUGCGCAGGCGGUUUGCUAAGUGAGAUGUGAAAUCCCCGGGCUUAACCUGGGAACUGCGUUUCUAACUGGCAGGCUUGAGUGUGGCAGAGGGGGGUGGAAUUCCCCGUGUAGCAGUGAAAUGCGUAGAGAUGGGGAGGAACACCGAUGGCGAAGGCAGCCCCCUGGGCUAACACUGACGCUCAUGCACGAAAGCGUGGGGAGCAAACAGG
rnacentral:rRNA from 1 species